rnacentral:rRNA from 1 species
AGAGUUUGAUCAUGGCUCAGAGCGAACGUUAGCGGCGGGCCUAACACAUGCAAGUCGUGCGAGAAAGUCGGCUUCGGUCGGCGAGUAGAGCGGCGCACGGGUGAGUAACACGUGGAUAAUCUGCCCUUCGGUGGGGGAUAACUUUCCGAAAGGAUUGCUAAUACCGCAUAAGACCACGUCCUCUUCGGGGGAUGAGGUCAAAGACGGCCUCUUCAUGAAAGCUGUCGUCGAAGGAUGAGUCCGCGGCCCAUCAUGCUAGUUGGUAGGGUAACGGCCUACCAAGGCGAAGACGGGUAGCUGGUCUGAGAGGAUGACCAGCCACACUGGAACUGAGACACGGUCCAGACUCCUACGGGAGGCAGCAGUGGGGAAUAUUGGGCAAUGGGCGAAAGCCUGACCCAGCCACGCCGCGUGAGUGAUGAAGGCCUUCGGGUCGUAAAGCUCUGUGGGGAGGGAAGAAACCUUCCAGGGAACAAUACCCCUGGGACUUGACGGUACCUCCUUAGCAAGCACCGGCUAACUCCGUGCCAGCAGCCGCGGUA